rnacentral:rRNA from 1 species
UACGUAUGGUGCAAGCGUUAUUCGGAUUUACUGGGUGUAAAGGGAGCGUAGACGGCAUAGCAAGUCUGAAGUGAAAUGCGGGGGCUCAACCCCUGAACUGCUUUGGAAACUGUUAAGCUGGAGUGUCGGAGAGGUUAGUGGAAUUCCUAGUGUAGCGGUGAAAUGCGUAGAUAUUAGGAGGAACACCGGUGGCGAAGGCGGCUAACUGGACGAUAACUGACGUUGAGGCUCGAAAGCGUGGGGAG